rnacentral:rRNA from 1 species
GACGAACGCUGGCGGCGUGCUUAACACAUGCAAGUCGAGCGGUAAGGCCCUUCGGGGUACACGAGCGGCGAACGGGUGAGUAACACGUGAGCAAUCUGCCCUUCUCUUUGGAAUAACCAUUGGAAACGAUGGCUAAUGCCGAGUAUGAACCCCCUUCGCAUGUUGGGGGUUGGAAAGCUCCGGCGGAGAUGGAUGAGCUCGCGGCCUAUCAGCUUGUUGGUGAGGUAAUGGCUCACCAAGGCAUUGACGGGUAGCCGGCCUGAGAGGGUGACCGGCCACACUGGGACUGAGACACGGCCCAGACUCCUACGGGAGGCAGCAGUGGGGAAUAUUGGACAAUGGGCGAAAGCCUGAUCCAGCAACGCCGCGUGAGGGAUGACGGCCUUCGGGUUGUAAACCUCUUUCAGCAGGGACGAAGCGAGAGUGACGGUACCUGCAGAAGAAGGACCGGCCAACUACGUGCCAGCAGCCGCGGUAAUACGUAGGGUCCGAGCGUUGUCCGGAAUUAUUGGACGUAAAGGGCUCGUAGGCGGUUUGUCGCGUCGGGAGUGAAAACUCAGGGCUCAACCCUGAGCGUGCUUCCGAUACGGGCAGACUAGAGGUAUUCAGGGGAGAACGGAAUUCCUGGUGUAGCGGUGGAAUGCGCAGAUAUCAGGAGGAACACCGGUGGCGAAGGCGGUUCUCUGGGAAUUACCUGACGCUGAGGAGCGAAAGCAUGGGGAGCGAACAGGAUUAGAUACCCUGGUAGUCCAUGCCGUAAACGUUGGGCGCUAGGUGUGGGGACCUUCCACGGUUUCCGUGCCGCAGCUAACGCAUUAAGCGCCCCGCCUGGGGAGUACGGCCGCAAGGCUAAAACUCAAAGGAAUUGACGGGGGCCCGCACAAGCGGCGGAGCAUGCUGAUUAAUUCGAUGCAACGCGAAGAACCUUACCUGGGUUUGACAUAUGCCGGAAAGCUGCAGAGAUGUGGCCUCCUUUUGGUCGGUAUACAGGUGGUGCAUGGCUGUCGUCAGCUCGUGUCGUGAGAUGUUGGGUUAAGUCCCGCAACGAGCGCAACCCUCGUUCUAUGUUGCCAGCACGUAAUGGUGGGGACUCAUAGGAGACUGCCGGGGUCAACUCGGAGGAAGGUGGGGAUGACGUCAAGUCUUCAUGCCCCUUAUGUCCAGGGCUUCAAGCAUGCUACAAUGGCCGGUACAAAGGGCUGCGAAACUGUAAGGUGGAGCGAAUCCCAAAAAGCCGGUCUCAGUUCGGAUUGGGGUCUGCAACUCGACCCCAUGAAGUCGGAGUCGCUAGUAAUCGCAGAUCAGCAACGCUGCGGUGAAUACGUUCCCGGGCCU